GAGAGUAGGGCGUGGGAGUCACGUCGGUAGCGCGUUGCGUAAGGCACCAUCCUGACGAGCACUAGCACAUGCUUUAUUGAUUAGACACUGCCUGAGCCCGGCACACACGUUGGCUAAGUGCAGCUCCACAAAGACCAGCCCCACGCCAAUGAAAGGGGCCACCGAAGCAUUAAAAUCCCACGGUUGCUGUAAAGGAAGCAGCCCCAGGACAUAAAAUUCUGGAUGCUACAGCACAUGGCAAAUGCCCAACUGCACCUAUACCAAGAAAGUCACUGUGUAAUUAUGAGAACUGGGCAUAACCUUUGUGCGGUUUAAAAAGUACUGAACAUGCCAAGAAGCAACAACGGAUUGUCUUCAGGAAACAGUAUAAAUGAGUGGUGAAGGCACUCCUGACAUCGUGGCGUGGUGUAAGGAGGAGAGCAAAGCAAAAUUUGGGGAAUCCUUUCCACUAUUAGAGGGAAUUUCUCCAAGCUGUAUCUUUUUACCAGGUGCUGAUGGCUGCAGCAGAGAGCCCGGAGCUGAGCAGAAAAUGCGAACGGGUCAUUGCAUCAACAGCUGGAAAAAGGCAGUGGCUGUGAACAUGGUUUCAGAGGCAGUGGAAGGAAGCUGGGAUCGCUUCACUGACCAGCCGGAACAUCCAGCCAGUACAUUAACUGCCCUGCUGCCCUGAUCUGAUGUGGUUUUACAGACAAUAGCUACUGGCUAUUUAGGCAAUGUAUAAAUUAGCAUAUUCUGCACAAACGAGGAGCAUAUUUAAA
rnacentral:lncRNA from 1 species